GAUGAAGAACGUAGCGAAAUGCGAUACUUGGUGUGAAUUGCAGAAUCCCGUGAACCAUCGAGUCUUUGAACGCAAGUUGCGCCCGAAGCCAUCAGGUUGAGGGCACGUCUGCCUGGGCGUCACAUAUCGUUGCCCAAUGCCUAUUGCAGUGCAAUAGGAAUUUCUAGGGCGAAUGAUGGCUUCCCGUGAGCGUUGUUGCCUCGCGGUUGGUUGAAAAUCGAGUCCUUGGUAGGGUGUGCCAUGGUAGAUGGUGGUCGAGUUAGAACGAUACCGAUCAUGUGCAUGCUCCCCAAAAUAUGGCCUCUAUGACCCACACGCGUCUUUUGACGCUCAUGACGAGACCUCAGGUCAGGCGGGGCUACCCGCUGAAUUUAAGCAUAUUAAUAAGCGGAGGA
rnacentral:misc_RNA from 1 species